rnacentral:rRNA from 1 species
GCUUGCUUCUCUUGAGAGCGGCGGACGGGUGAGUAAUGCCUAGGAAUCUGCCUGGUAGUGGGGGAUAACGUUCGGAAACGAACGCUAAUACCGCAUACGUCCUACGGGAGAAAGCAGGGGACCUUCGGGCCUUGCGCUAUCAGAUGAGCCUAGGUCGGAUUAGCUAGUUGGUGAGGUAAUGGCUCACCAAGGCGACGAUCCGUAACUGGUCUGAGAGGAUGAUCAGUCACACUGGAACUGAGACACGGUCCAGACUCCUACGGGAGGCAGCAGUGGGGAAUAUUGGACAAUGGGCGAAAGCCUGAUCCAGCCAUGCCGCGUGUGUGAAGAAGGUCUUCGGAUUGUAAAGCACUUUAAGUUGGGAGGAAGGGCAGUUACCUAAUACGUGAUUGUUUUGACGUUACCGACAGAAUAAGCACCGGCUAACUCUGUGCCAGCAGCCGCGGUAAUACAGAGGGUGCAAGCGUUAAUCGGAAUUACUGGGCGUAAAGCGCGCGUAGGUGGUUUGUUAAGUUGGAUGUGAAAUCCCCGGGCUCAACCUGGGAACUGCAUUCAAAACUGACUGACUAGAGUAUGGUAGAGGGUGGUGGAAUUUCCUGUGUAGCGGUGAAAUGCGUAGAUAUAGGAAGGAACACCAGUGGCGAAGGCGACCACCUGGACUAAUACUGACACUGAGGUGCGAAAGCGUGGGGAGCAAACAGGAUUAGAUACCCUGGUAGUCCACGCCGUAAACGAUGUCAACUAGCCGUUGGAAGCCUUGAGCUUUUAGUGGCGCAGCUAACGCAUUAAGUUGACCGCCUGGGGAGUACGGCCGCAAGGUUAACUCAAAUGAAUUGACG